GCCUUGGUGGAUCAAUUGGCAGAUCAUCCCAGCUUUAUACGCGUUCUUUAACCGGUAUACGGGAGAACGGAGGUUCGAAUCCUCCCCAAGGCA